rnacentral:lncRNA from 1 species
CAAAACCAUAACGGAGGCAGUAAAAGGGGCGACAAUUUGUUGGACAUGUGAACAUUCUGAUACCAGUGCUUCUGACAUCAGGAACAGAAAAUGGCUUUUCUGAUCAAGACCUUUUCUCCUUGUAGGAAGGUAUCUGUGGUAGAGCUCAGUGGAGCUACUCACAGGGAUAGCAUCUUUCCCCAACCCAGAGGUGAAGAAGAAAGGGAAUGUUUCUGAGAAGCGGCUUGGAGAGCUGGCUGGCUCCAGGGAUGAAAAGUGCCAUCCUGGAAGUGUUUGGAGGCCUGCUGCUUCUUCUUCUCUUCACUGCUAUGAAUAAUGGGGACAGCCGGAAUCUUUCACAGGACAGAAAAACCUGCCUGGCCCCACUCCUGCACCGUCUGCAGACACAGACUACAAGCCAUACUUCUGGGAGAGGUGAUGGGUCUUUGAUGAAUCGUCCAUACUCUCUCACCCAGUCUGUGCCUGAUGGGGACCUGGUCCAGCCAUCCCACCCUGGGACAAAUACCCUGCAGUGAAGCGAUGUCCCUAAUGCUGAGAGAGCCCCCUUUGUAUCCCCAGAAACUAUAGUAGGGCACACAGUAGGGGUUUCACAAAUGCCUGUUGAAUCAUUCUGUUCUCUCUUCUUAAACCUUCUUAACCACCUCAGCAUCCUUCUGCCUUCUUAUUGAAGCUAGGCCACUCACAACAGCAAUGGCCCCCAAGCUUUCGUUUCUAGCUGGAUGCAGCUCAGACAUAAAUUAUCCUCACCGGAAUUUGGACCGACAUUUAUUGAGCACAUCUUAUGUGCAGAGCACAUCUCCAGGUACCAGGGACCACCAGGAGCAAGAGGAUGGGAGAAGCAGCAGCCUGAUGCAAUGAGAAACUUCCCGAUAAUUGGUCAUUCAAAAAUAGAACCGGUUGCCUUGGGAGGUAGUGAGGGCCCAACAAGGAAGGUCUUCAAACAACAUAUGGAUAAACAUAUGUUGGUAAUAGCAUAGGGGAUGCUUGUUCAAGUGGGUGGUGGAUUCAUGAGGUUCCUCUGAGGUCCUUUCCAGCACAGAUUCUGGGAUUUCUGGGGGUUGUAAGUACAAUAACCUUCUCCUCAAGAUCAUUUUGCUGAGGUCUUCCUUGCAGUCAGAUGGUUCGUCCCAAUCUCCCCUUCUCCCAAGUGCCCAGAGUUUGCUACCAACCUGGUGCACAUUGGGACAGUUUCUUCUUGCUUCCUAUGCUUCUCCUCCUCCUCCCUUCUUUACCUUCUCCUCCACAACUUCCUUCUCUUCUUCCUCUUUCCCUCCUCCUU